GAGUUUGAUCUUGGCUCAGAUUGAACGCUGGCGGCAUGCCUUACACAUGCAAGUCGAGCGGCAGCGCGGGGGCAACCCUGGCGGCGAGCGGCGCACGGGUGAGUAAUGCAUCGGAACGUGUCCUCUUGUGGGGGAUAACCAGUCGAAAGACUGGCUAAUACCGCAUGAGCACGAGAGUGGAAAGCGGGGGACCGUAAGGCCUCGCGCGAGAGGAGCGGCCGAUGCCGGAUUAGCUAGUUGGUGGGGUAAAGGCCUACCAAGGCGACGAUCCGUAGCUGGUUUGAGAGAACGACCAGCCACACUGGGACUGAGACACGGCCCAGACUCCUACGGGAGGCAGCAGUGGGGAAUUUUGGACAAUGGGGGCAACCCUGAUCCAGCCAUGCCGCGUGUGUGAAGGAGGCCUUCGG
rnacentral:rRNA from 1 species